CUCUGGAUCUGUCUCAUUACUUUACCCACUUUCCCUCUUCCAACUCCAAUCCCAUUUAUGGAAAAGAAGUAAAUGGGGAAGCUGACAGAAUCUAUUCCAGUCAGAGGCUGUUCCUUCCUGCUCGGUGCAGUUCGGAUGCCUGGUAACCAGGUCUCUCCACCUGCACCUCAUCCUUCCCUCUGCCUCAACCACCCAUCUGAAUAAUUAAAUUAUCAUUGAAGCUCAAGAUGUCUCAAACGAACGCUGAGGCACACAUCAUUAAAGUCACUGAGGGGGAACAGAGAUCUGCCAGCUCAAUGGAUGGCCAUGUCCGGAAUGCUCUCUAUCCCCUCUAAUCCCACAUCAAGGCCCUUCCUCUCCACUCUGACAUCAGUCAAGUCCACCUGUAGAGAUCAGCCUUCUUCCUUCUCUGUAGUCUAUGGCCACCGACUCAUACUGCAUGAAGAGCCAUAUGCACAAGCUUCAAUAAGGUAUUGAUUC